UCCCUUGAGGCCUAGUGGUUAGGUCGCGGCACUAUCACUGCCACGGACCAGGUUCAAUUCCCAGAAAGGGAA